AUGGAUUGCCUGUGCAAAUUCAUGGGGAACUGGUCUGAAACAUGACGUGGAAAUUCAGGCUGUGACAUCAAAACGUCACCCCCCAGGGGAGCAAGUCUAUUCUGUGCUAUGCUGACUCCAGUCAGCCUUAUUGGUUCCAGCCAGUUUCAGCCAGUCAGCCAGUUUUGUUGCAAGCAGAGAGAAUUAUAACAAGCUGUUUCUUCAUCUGUCUUCUUGCAAGAUGAGACCCAUUGGGCAUGAUGGCUACCAUCCCACCUCUGUAGCUGAGUGGCUGGAUUCCAUUGAACUGGGCGACUACACCAAAGCCUUUCUAAUUAAUGGCUACACUUCGAUGGACCUGUUGAAAAAAAUCUGGGAGGUUGAACUUAUUAAUAAAAUCACUCUGGGAGCUAUGUGAAGGAUCGAUUGGAGACUGGGAAACCAGGU
rnacentral:sRNA from 1 species